rnacentral:rRNA from 1 species
AUCCGGAAUUAUUGGGCGUAAAGCGUCUGUCGGCGGCAAUAUAAGUCUGGUGUGAAAUUUCAAUGCUUAACAUUGAAUGCGUACUGGAAACUAUUUUGCUAGAGUCUAAGAGGGGCCACUGGAAUUUCCGUUGUAGGGGUAAAAUCCGUAGAUAACGGAAGGAACACCAAAAGCGAAAGCAGGUGGCUGGCUUAGUACUGACGCUCAGAGACGAAAGCGUGGGGAGCGAACGGGAUUAGAUACCCCGGUAGUCCACGCCGUAAACUAUGAGUGCUAGAUGUAGGAAGGGCUCGACCCCUUUCUGUGUCUACAGCUAACGCGUUAAGCACUCCGCCUGGGGAGUACGGUCGCAAGACUAAAACUCAAAGGAAUAGACGGGGACCCGCACAAGCGGUGGAUCAUGUGGUUUAAUUCGACGAUAAGCGAGAAACCUCACCUAGACUUGACAUCUCGAGAAGGUUCUAGAAAUAGAACUGUGCCUUUUGGAACUCGAUGACAGGUGCUGCAUGGUUGUCGUCAGCUCGUGCCCUGAGGUGUUCGGUUAAGUCCGUAAACGAGCGCAACCCUUGUCAUAUGUUGUAUUUCUCAUAUGAAACUGCCGGCUCCAAGCCGGAGGAAGGUAGGGAUGACGUCAAAUCAGCAUGGCCCUUAUGUCUAGGGCUACACACGUGAUACAAUGGGUCGUACAAUGGGUAGCCAAGGCGCAAGCCGGAGCCAAUCCCGAAAACGAUCCUCAGUUCGGAUUGAGGUCUGCAAUUCGACCUCAUGAAGUUGGAAUCGCUAGUAACCGUGAAUCAGCAUGUUACGGUGAAUAUGUUCCCGGGUCUUGUACUCACCGCCCGUCACAUCAUGGAAGAUGGAAGCACCCAAAGCACCAUCGGUAAUAGGGGGUACCACGGUGAUCCAUGACUGGGAUGAAGUCGUA